UUGCCAAGUUUUUCCUCGCAACGAAGGUUUCAUUAAUCCUUCAGCUACAACGAAUUUUCAGUCACAGUCUGACUGUGGUGGAGUGUGGUGUGGUGUUGCUUUUGGGCAAAAAGGAUACGAGAAGAAGGUGAAAUUUUUCUCUCCUGUGAUUUUAUCGGUGAUAUAAGCUCCAAGCUUAAAACAGAAUCUGAUAGCCUUUCUACCAAUUAGAAAUCUCGGAUAACAAAUAAAUAAGUCCACCUAGUGAAAGUUGUGCUGUAUAUAACUAACAGCGUCGUGUAGCACAGUAAGGGAAUAUGCGAGAAUCCCACAUUAGGGCGCAAGGCUUACUACCAAAGGACUAUGGGAGAACUUGUAUGUUCUACUUGUUGGGCUAACACUGGAAAAAGGUGGAUUUUACUAUGUGAGGAGAAGAAGUUUUAAAAAAGGAUGUGAUAUUUUCUAAUAAAACUGUGAUCGGUCUUGAUGUGAUAAAAAAAAGUUUAAAACUUUUAAAAUAUUUCUGCCUGUCGAUAAUGUUUUGAACAUCGGUGAAAUGUGAAGACUUGGACCGUUUAAACGGUUGCUGUGUAAAGAUGCCAGAAAGUGGAUGCCAUGGACUCAUCAUACACCAUAAAUUUUUGAUAUGCUCCAAGCAUAGUAAGUCCCAUAAAUGUGAUUAUGGGACUAUAAAACGUGCCUUGCCAAAGAAAAUGGCAAUAUUUGAGCCCAAAAUCAAAUAAAAACGAAAAGAGAUAUAGCAACUAUUACGGAGGAUAAACGACAUACUUAUAUUAUUUACAUAUUUUAAACUGUGAUAUUUUGUAGAUCAACUGUGAUAUUUUCUCAAAAACUGUGAUAUUUUUAAUAUAUGUAUAUAAAUAACUGUGAUAAUUGUUAAAUAUUUUUCGUUAAACUGUUGUCAUUACUUUUUUAUUUUUAUAACCUUUUUUGUUAUUGUUUUUCAUUAUUAUUGUUUUUUUAUUAAUUAUUUCCGUUUUUGUAAAAACUAUAUUAUUAUUUUUAAGAUUUUCUUUAAUUUUAACAUUACACCCUACAUUACUUUUCAUUUCAUUUUAAAUAAUUUUUAUUCUUUUAUUAUCAUACACUUU